GUAGCACAAUAUUAUUAUUGUGUUACCGUCAUCGUCAAGCUGUGUAGCUUGAUUAGAAUUUGAGCAUGUUUUCUGUGUAAAUGUGCAAGCAUUGAAUAAWUAUUUGCUUUGCUGAAAAUGACAGAAUCAUGUUUAACUUUAUACAUGCUAAUAUAAAUGCGUGUUUAUAUCUAG
rnacentral:misc_RNA from 1 species